rnacentral:misc_RNA from 1 species
GAUGAAGAACGUAGCAAAAUGCGAUAAGUAAUGUGAAUUGCAGAAUUCAGUGAAUCAUCGAAUCUUUGAACGCACAUUGCGCCCGCCAGUAUUCUGGCGGGCAUGCCUGUUCGAGCGUCAUUUCAACCCUCAAGCACAGCUUGGUGUUGGGACUCGCGUUAAUUCGCGUUCCCCAAAUUGAUUGGCGGUCACGUCGAGCUUCCAUAGCGUAGUAGUAAAACCCUCGUUACUGGUAAUCGUCGCGGCCACGCCGUUAAACCUCAACUUCUGAAUGUUGACCUCGGAUCAGGUAGGAAUACCCGCUGAACUUAAGCAUAUCAAUAAGCGGAGGA